GGGUAACACAUGCAUUGUCUGCAGGACUAGGUGAAUGUCCAUGUGGCCUAGCAAGAGUUAGCUGGUAGCCCGCCUCUGGUUGCCAAUUUGUUCUUGAGUCCUUGUUCUGAGUUCCUGGAAGGAAACAGAUUUGUCUGGUUGGGAGGAGAAUACAAGGCCACAUCUUUGUCGUUUGUUGGCUAACUUUGUCCUUGGUUGAGGACAUUAGAGUUUUGGUCACCAGGCAUAGCCUAUGUGCCUGUGUGCCCGUGUUGUAUCCCAUGUGUUUGGGGGACAUGUACAUUGCAUGAACUAGUGAGCUCCUGCUCAUUGCUUCUGAUACCCAAGGAGUCCCUGGCUUAUCCUAAACCCAAUAUAGGUUAAAGCCUUUCUCAUUAGGGGCCCAGGGUCCCAAGGCUUUUGUGAGUAUCAUUGUAGGUAUUGAAGCAACGAUGUUGAGAAGGAUGCUGAACAUGCUCUUUAGUGGGAUGACGUACUCUGAAGGCUCCUGACCCCCAGAUGAGCAUCCUUGUGUCCGUUAACUUCUGUGUUUAUGAACAGGUGAGGCCAGAGACAGGCAGACAGCAGAUGUAUUGCAGGGAGCUGGAUGACAUGGCCCUUGGAACCUGUGCACAUGCCUGCCUUUCUGAUGCACGUCCAUGUUUUCUCUGCACCUCCCCGGUGGUGUUGGUAUAAAAAGCAGGCUUACAUCAGCAAGGGAUGAUUGUCGUCUCAUGCGAUCCUGGGAGAUGGCAGAAGUCCCGGGACACAUGGAGUGUGGGCUCUUUCGGAGGCUGUUGGAUCCCUCCUGAAUGUGUUGUGGCCAUGGAAGUAAGGCCAGUGGCUACGAGGGACAGUCUUCAUCUUGGGAGAUCCCUAGAGAGGGCAGGGAGCCCCUUGACAUGUGGAAUGUGAUCUCUGUUGGGUGCUGGUGGAUCCCACAGGUGGUCUGGCAUGGAAGAAGGCCAGAGGCUGCGAUGGAUCAUCUUUGUCUUGGGAGAUUCCUGGAGAUGGUGGGGAGCCCCUGGGCACGUGCAGCAUAUGUGGCGUGGGCUUCUUCAGGUGCUGGUGGAUCCCUCAGGAUGCUUUUCAAGGUUUUUCUAUGAGUUCUGUUAAAGAGUCUGAAAAUGGAGCGUAGAAGACAUGCUUCGAUUUCCAGGAUGGUUGUGUUUUCCAGAGAGGCGGAGGUAAACCACUGGCGCAGCCCUGCCUCCCACAGAUAAUUCCGGGUGCAGUGUUUCAUAUCUAGACUUGGACUUCUAUCCUACCAUACUUCUUUGUGUGCAGUUCAUUGUGGAACCAGCACAGAUUUUCAUACGAAAGUUAUUUCUUUUUAACCUCAAAAAGUGACAGAAUGGAGUGUAUCAUGAAAAAGUCUGACAUCAAAACCUCAAAAUGUGAUAUUGAUUGGGUGAGAUAGAAUUCCAUGGAAUUUCAUUGCCAAACCAGUGAAGUGCUAAUUUUGACAUUUGUACCAGCUAACGUAGCUGUGAAGAAACACACCAAUACACUUCUAAGGACAGCAUAGACCAAGAUCUAGGUUUCAUAUGGAUGAAUUUAUUCUUCCCUUUGAGGCAAGACAAGAAGGAAAGAAAGUAUUGGGAAUAAUGCUGCCCUCCCAUCCUCAAGGGCCAGUGGGAACUCUAAUAUUGAUUGGUUUUCACAGAAUUCCAUGGACUUUAACUGCUGAACCAAUGAUGCACUGAUUUUGUCACUUGUACCAGCUAACGCAUCUGGGAGGCAACAAAACAAUACUCUCCUGAGGUUAAUGUGGACCAAAAACUAGAUUUCAUAUAAAAGAGUUUAUUCCUUCUACUUGAGGUGUGACAUGAAGGAAAGUAAUGGAAAUAAUUCUGCCCUCCCAUUCUCAAGGGCCAGGGGGAAUUCAAAUAUUGAACGGAAGUGAUUUUGGAAUUGCAUGGAAUUCUCACUGCCAUCCCAAAGAAAUGCUGAUCUUGUCACUCUUACCUGUUUCAUUCCCUGGGGGCAGAACAAAAGGACGCACUCCAAAGAUCGGCAUGAACCAAGAACUGGGUUUCAUAUAAAAUAUUUUAUUCUGUCCUCUUGAGAUGUGACAUGAGAAAAGUAUUGAGAAUACUUCUAUCACCUCAUCUUCAAGAAUCCGUAGGAAUUCUCCCAUGGUGGACUUUACGGUUAACCUGAACAGGUCUUGGAAAAAGGACUUUAAACAUUCUCCUGUUCUGUGGAAUAAGUAUACUUUUUUCUGGACAUACACCUUGUCAGUUCCAUGUGAUACUAGAGUUGCAUAGAUUUUUAACCUUUACGCCAAUGAAGAUCUGAGGCAAACAUUGCCCCUUUUUUAGAAGUUUGCAUUUGUCACUGAUAACUGUAAUAAUUGAUCUUGUUGAAAAGCCUGGGAAAUGAAGAUCUGAUAUGUCACUUUUACCGGCUUCCUCAACUGAAAAAGAAUACAAUGAAACACGCUGAGAAUUUUUGUGCUUUCUCAGUCUUGCUGAUGAUCUUUCUAUGGGCCUGAAGCGUGGAGAGUGCCAGAGAGGCUGAUCCUCAGCAGUGUGGCAGAGGAAAGUUGGGUGCGACUAAGGGGUAUGCGGUGCCCACAUGCCACUGGGUCCUCAGCAGUACCACCUGAUUGGAAGUGAUAUUGGUGGAAGACAACAUUUUGCCGCUUGGAAUUCUCACCUCCACACCAAAGAAGUACUGUUUUUGUCAUUUGCACCAGCUUCUUUCUCCAGGAAAGAUCAAAACGAUGCACUGCAAGUGUGAUUGGUCCAGAUAGCUGCCUUAUCCAACUGCCUCCUUUGGACCACUUCAUCAUGGGACAGCUUGAUGCAAUCUACUUGACAAGACCCUGGAACCCCACACCCCUCAUGGAACCAGUGUCCACCUCCCAGUCACAGUGUGACCCCAGGGAACUCUUGCCUGCUUGCUUUAAACCCACCACUUAAAAGUCUCCACAGAAAACCUGUUUGAAUAGUACCCUUGACCCAAUAAGGGCAUUGGCCCCUGGGUGUCUCUCUCUCUCUCUCUCUCUCUCUCUCCCUCUCUCUCCCUCUCUCUCUCUCGCUCCCUGACCUCUGCGUGUGGACUCCAGGCAUGCCAUAUACCCCUCAGGACCUGAAGCAAAAGAAUGAAUUAAAGAAAACUCCAGAGAAUGAGCUGACAACCUACUCCCUGGUCAGUGGCUCUCCAUGCCUACCUGUGGUCUCUUGGACACCCUUGCAGAAGAUGACUUCCUGGGAACUCUUCUGGGAGUGAAUGUUAUCAGCAAAUUCCCAAAACAACACCCCUUAGACAAAAAGCCUCCUCACCUAUGCAUUGCCUAGACCACCCACUAAAGGUGAUGGCCACAAAGAGGUGGAUUUGUUGAGUUGGUGCCAUUCCUUCUACUGCCAGCUUCACCAAAACAAUGACACAGUCUUCCUUCCGCAUGGAGACUCUUCUCUUUCCUGUGUUGCAGUGGAUGCCUCCUGCAGAUAAGAAAUGCUUAACUGAGAAAUGCUCAUGUUGGGAUAUCAUCGAUGAGACUUUAAUUUGGGCAUGGUGACUGUUUCCCUUGCUGCCACUUGACUCAAUCCCAGGAGCCUCAGUAGAGGAUAUAAUAUUACACAAGAUGCUCAAAAUGGUGGAAUUGCUCAGUGCUCCCAUAAAUAUACAUUUAUAAUUUUCAUUUGCCACAUGGUAAACUGAAAAAUACAGACUAUAUUAAAAAGAAACUGCAUGAUUUUUUUUCAAAAAUUCAAAGCAUAUUUAAAUAAUAUAUAAAUUAAAUGCCCUCCUCUCUUCCAAUUCUGUCCCUAUAGUUUUCCUCUAUUAAGUGAACUACAUGCAUUCUUUUAGUGGAUAGAUGCACACAAACACACAAGCCAUUAUGGGGAAGGAUCCACGUGUGUGGCCAUAUUGUAACACAUUUUUCUGCAAAUCACCUCUUUCAUUUAACAGCCCUUAUUCAAUGGCCUUUUUCUUUUUCAGUAGUACAUACACAUCUGUGUCAUUUGUUGAAUGACGACAUGAAUGUUUUGUAGAUAAAAUAUAAUUAAAUGUUUUAAGCAUUUCUCACUCAUAGAUAUUUAUGUUAGCACCAAAUUUCUGUGCAAUGAACCUCCCUAUAUAUCAGUAAUUUUGCAUUUGUCUAUAAUAUCAUAAUAAAUUACUUAUCAGUUGAAUUACUGGGAUUAAGUAUGUGCACACUUUAUAUUUAUAUUUUGAAAAUUAUUGCAAGAUUGCCUUCAAAAAUGUGGUUAACAACUUUAUCUUCAAAUGGCAAUGAAUGAGAUUGCCAGCUUUCCUACAGCCUCACAGACAAUGGAUUUUAUAAAUAUUUAACAUUUUUGCCAAUGUGAUCACCCAAACUAUUGUCUUAAAUUGUAUCUCUUUUGUUUUUGAGUUUGGUCAUUUUUUCAUGUUUAUUAGCCAUCUGUAUUUUUUAAUUUCUUCUUUAUGUCCAAUUUUGUGGGUGGGAGGAGGAUUUAGUCUCUUCCUGAUUUCGAAGAGCUCAUUUACUAUUUCGGGAAAUAAGAUUUGGAUUGUCAACCAUUAUAGCUAUUUUUUACACACUUUUCAACUUUGUUUUUGUUAUAAGAAUGUGUAUGAUUGUUACAUGUCCAAGUAUAACCAUGUUCGCUUUUAUGGCUUCUGAGUUUCAUGUCAUUUUUGGAAAGAUAUAUAUAUUGAGUCCAUAAAACCCUUCACCUAUGUUAAAUUCUAAUUCUUUUGUGUUUUUUUAAUUCAAAUUCUUAAAUCAUGAGAAAUUUUUUUGUUUUGAAAUCUUAAAGUUGCCAAGUUACUUGCCAUUACUUGCGAUUAUUUGCCAAUAAUUGCCCAUUUAUCUGUACCGCCAUCUUGCGCAUAUGCUGUACUCUCAUCUGUGACUGGCUCCAUUUUUGUUCUGUGGAUUUGUGUGUCUCUUCUUCUGCCUCCUGUCUCGUGUCUGCUCGUUGGAAGAAAUUACAGUUUAGACUGCAAUUUCAUCAACUUUAAUAAAUCAAUUGAGGGGAGAAUUGGUUUUUAAAAAUAUUAAGUAAGUCUUCGUAUCCAAGGACAAGGUAUGUCUUUUCUUAUUCAAUAAUUUUAAUUACUGUUAAUAUUUUCACUGUGGUGAUGGGAGUUUUUCUUUUAAUUUAUUUUCUUGUUCAUUUUUUGUAUCUAAAGUUUUUGUUUUGUUUUGUUUUGGGGGUAAGUUGUCACCUUACUGUUUCUUGUUGCUUUUCAGAUUUUUUCAAAGUAUAGACUAAAUCCUUCACAAAUAUUUAAAGUUUUUAUUUUCCCCCUUCAUAUUGAUCCUGAUUUUAGUUAUGUUGACAAAGUCCACAGACUGUUACUAUCAGAACACUUGAACAGUUAUGGAAAUAUUACCUACCCUUGAUUUAAUCAGAGUUUAAUGGUAUGCUUCUUUGGUUUGACUGGCACAUUGUCGCUGGUCAUUUCCUCCCAAAGACCACCAGAAAGAGCUAUGAUCAAGCAAAGCUGAGUUUGUUAAACUUACCUGCAGCAAGGGAAAACACCACCUUGAUAGGGUUUAAUAAUGUUUCAAAAUCAAGAAAUGAGGCUUUGGGGUCUGGGCAGGGAACUAAUUAGAAAUGGGCAAAAUUUGUCAUGCAAUACCUUGUGGGAAAGUGAGAUGAGGUUCUUAAUGUGAGUAUUGAUGGUGAAAUCAUUUUCUAGGUGAGCUGUUUGCCUAUAUAAAGAUGUUAUCAAUGACAGAAGAACUAUUUGCCUAGAUAAACAAACUGAAUUUAUUUAUUGGUUUACAGUUUUAUCUUGCUGGGCAGGACUCUGCUGGGGGUGGUAUCAGGUCUUAUUCCCAAUAGGUAAGUUAUUUGGAUAUGGGUGGUCUUAAUCAUCAAUGUGUAAAAUGCUGAUUUUAAGUGCGAAAUACUUUGUCUACCAUGUUAGGAAAGUCUGCCACCUUUUAUCUUUUUUAAGGAAUUUUAAUCAAAACCAGGUGGUAGAUAUAAUCAAAUUGUUUUGCAGAAUCAAUUUUCCUGUUCUCUUUAAAGACUUUUAUCACUGUGAAUUAAUUUACUAUUAUUGCAACUUCCUUUAAUUCCUUGAAUGAACAGACCCUACUGGUUUUAAAAAUGUUUUAUUCUUUUAAUUUACUACUUAAUUGUGGGUAUUUUAAUUUGAUUUGGAAUUUUUACAAGUAUACAACUAAGUGAAAUUGAUCUGUGAUUUUUCUUUUUUGUGCUAUUUUUGUCAUGUUUUGAUAUCAGAUAUUCUGGUUGUGUUAAAAUAAUUUUGAGGAUUUUCUUCUUAUACUGUGUUCUAGAGUGGGUAAAAAAGCCCUAGUCUCACUAUCAGUGUUUAAGUGAACACAUCAGUGACAUCAUCUGGACUCUCCUUUGUUUUUGCUGGUUUGGAGUUAGGACAUCUAGAAGUUUUUUUCUUUUUUUCCUUUUUUUGUAUGGUUAUUGCUUGUUCUUUGUUUUGUGUCAAAUUUAACCUGUUUUCUCUUAGCAAAUCACAGCUCAUGCAGAUUUUCAAACACAUUAGCCUUGUUAUACAAAGUGUUCUUUCAUCAUUCUAUUAAAUUUCCAUUUUCAUUCCAGUUAUAGUUAUUUCUGCUGUGCCUUUGUUAAUGAAUAAGUUUAAACAGUGGAUGUUUAGCAUCACUAGCCUUCCCCUUCCAUCUCCCUUAAUCAGGACCUUGGUAUAAUUUAUCAGGUAUUUUUUAAGGUUCUAAUUUACUUAUAUAUAUUGUUUCUGUAUUCUUUUGUUUCUUUUCUUAAUAAAUUCUUAAA
rnacentral:lncRNA from 1 species